AUUCCAUAGAGAUCACCAGGUGCUCGCGAGAGCUGAAUAGGGAAGCCGGUGUAAGUCCGGCACGGUCCCGCCACUGUAUGUGGGGAGCGACCUCCAAGUUGCCACUGUAACCCGUUGGGGUAUGGGAAGGCGGAGGAAGCGUUGAUCCAUAAGUCAGGAGACCUGCCUGUGUGUGCAGUCCAUC
rnacentral:ncRNA from 1 species